ACAUAGCCUUUUCUACAUAUAAAAGGUGUUACCUGCCCAAUGAUUUACAACUAAAGAAAGAAAAUUACUUAAAGUAAGUUUAAAGGACGCGGUAUCCUAACCGUGAUAAUGUAGCAUAAUCACUCGCCAUUUAAUUGAUGGAUAGUAUGAACGGUAAAACGAGUAUAACACUUUCUCAGAGAAAAGCCUUAUGAAAUUGGAAUGAUAGUCAAGAUACUAUCUUAAACUGUAAGACGAGAAGACCCUAUAGAGCUUAACUAUACCUUUCUCAAAGUAUUAAGUUUACUUACAUACCAGAAAGAUAGGUAGUUUAGUUGGGGCGACUACUUUCUAAAUAUAACGAAAGCAAGCGAUAUUAAUUCCUUAAUUUACUGUAUAACCUAUACGUUUAACAGUUAUAACAAUAGGCAAUAAUGACCCGUUAAUAAAAAAAAACAUCGUUAACGAACAUUAGAUAAAAGCUACCUUAGGGAUAACAGGAUAAUCUUAUUUUAGAGACCCAAUCGAAAAUAAGGUUUGUCACCUCUAUGUUGAAUUAAGAUAUCCCAGAAAUGCAGAAGUUUCUAAAGGUGGGUCUGUUCGACCCCUAAGAUCUUA
rnacentral:rRNA from 1 species